rnacentral:tRNA from 1 species
GCCGGCGUGAUGGAAUUGGCAGACGUACUGGACUCAAAAUCCAGCGGUGGCGACACCGUACCGGUUCGACCCCGGUCGCCGGCA